CUGCCUAUGUGCGGUCAGCACCCUCCCGAGUGCAGGCACUGCACACAGCCUACCAUGUGUUGCGCCAGAUGGAGAGCGGCAAGGUGGUGCUCCCUGAUGAGGUGUGUUACCGGGUACUGAUGCAGCUCUGCUCACACUAUGGGCAGCCUGUGCUGUCUGUGCGGGUCAUGCUGGAGAUGCGGCAGGCAGGCAUUGUGCCCAACACCAUCACCUAUGGCUACUACAAUAAGGUACCUACUUUGGGGUGAGGGGUGGGAUGGCAGCUGUGCCGGGGUGUGUGAGGGGAGGCUGCUGCUGCUCCCCUCACUCCUUGGAGAUUGGGCUGGUACCGUUUGCCUAGGUCCUGGAACCACUGUCAUCCAAUUGCACUCCUAUGCCUUAGCACCUACAGUUUCUCAGACGAGGCUGCUUUGAUUCCCACUCAUGACAGCCCUGCCUACAACUAAUAGUGUU
rnacentral:sRNA from 1 species